GCCGGGCAUGGUGGCGCAUGCCUGUAAUCCCAGCUACUUGGGAGGCUGGGGCAGGAGAAUCCCUUGAACCUGGGAGGUGGAGGUUGCAGUGAGCCGAGAUUGCUCCAUUGCACUCCAACCUGGGCAACAAGAGCGAAACUCCGUCUCAAAAAAAAAAAAGAGAGAGAAAAAAAAAAAAGAGAUGAGGUCUUGCUCUGUCACCCAGGCUAGAGUGCAGUGGCAUAAUUAUAGCUCACUGCAGCCUUGAACUCCUGGGCUCAAGUGAUCCUCCUGCCUCA
rnacentral:sRNA from 1 species